rnacentral:rRNA from 1 species
UGGCGAACGGGUGAGUAACACGUAGGGAACCUGCCCGCGCACCGGGAAUACGCUCUGGAAACGGAGAACAAAUCCCGAUGUACAGGAAGGAGGCAUCUUCUUUCUGUGAAACAUCCUUUAGGGGAUGGGGCGCGGAUGGACCUGCGGUGCAUUAGUUGGUUGGCGGGGUAAAGGCCCACCAAGACGAUGAUGCAUAGCCGGCCUGAGAGGGCGGACGGCCACAUUGGGACUGAGACACGGCCCAGACUCCUACGGAAGGCAGCAG